CAAGGGUAUGAGUCAGAGGGUAUGAGAGCCGCCCUGCCUAGCUGGGAGCAAAACGGCACCCAGAAGCAAGGAAAGGAGGAAAGCCGGGCUGCACCUCCCCCAGGACAGCCGCAGCUUCUAGAUCUAUCUCCUGCUGCAGCCCUGUGAACUCAUUCAGGCCUGAAUCUCAUUCCGAACAGAUUAUCAGUGGAGUAAUGAUGCCAAGAGCCCAGAAGGCCUGAAUGGUACUCAAAAGGGAGAAGGACCCACCUGUGUUUUGAGCCCAUCCUGGCUGCCCUGAUCGCACAAUUCUUCAAGCCUGUGACCCGCAGACAGGAGCUCACUCUCAGCUCAAGCAGAGCUUCUUGUUGCUUUCCCAUGAAGCACAGAAAGAGAAGGAAGAAAGGAAGGUAGGAAGGAAGGAAGAAAGAAAACAACAGAAAGAGUUUCUUCCCUCCCCGGAACACAGAAUACAUCGAAUCCAAUUUGCAUAUUAAUGACAGAAGGCAUGUGAUGGAAUAACACAACACAAAUGAGUCUGCGGGGUGACACCAAGUAACACUCAGAGAAAGAUCAGUUUCCUCUGAGCAAAAUCAUCCAAGGACAAGCACAUUCCAACAAUGUGGAUUCAAGAAAGUGGGAAGAAUGUAGUAUAUAUUGCCUUGACAUUAACACAGAGCUGCACACGUAGAGUUUUAAUAAGUAGGUGACACAAUUAGUUUGAUAAAAAGAAGACUGUGAGGUAGCUUCUGACGGAAAGAUAGAAUGCCGAGAACAAAGAAGAAGGAAAUGGUGUAAGGAAUGAAGAGGAAGGAAGGAAGCCUGACAUGUAACUCAAACAAUUACUGUAUUAAAGAAAUUAUUGAUAUUAUGCUUUGUCAUUGCGUGUUUGUUUAUAUAAGUUGAAAAAUGUUUCCUUAGUCAAGAGAGUUGCAUGCCUAGA